rnacentral:rRNA from 1 species
GAGUUUGAUCCUGGCUCAGAUUGAACGCUGGCGGCAGGCCUAACACAUGCAAGUCGAGCGGUAGAGAGAAGCCUGCUUCUCUUGAGAGCGGCGGACGGGUGAGUAAUGCCUAGGAAUCUGCCUGGUAGUGGGGGAUAACGCUCGGAAACGGACGCUAAUACCGCAUACGUCCUACGGGAGAAAGCAGGGGACCUUCGGGCCUUGCGCUAUCAGAUGAGCCUAGGUCGGAUUAGCUAGUUGGUGAGGUAAUAGGCUCACCAAGGCGACGAUCCGUAACUGGUCUGAGAGGAUGAUCAGUCACACUGGAACUGAGACACGGUCCAGACUCUACGGAGGCAGCAGUGGGGAAUAUUGGACAAUGGGCGAAAGCCUGGUCCAGCCAUGCCGCGUGUGUGAAGAAGGUCUUCGGAUUGUAAAGC